rnacentral:rRNA from 1 species
UACGAAGGGGGGCGAGCGUUUGUUCGGAUUUACUGGGCGUAAAGGGCGCGUAGGCGGCGGGUCAAGUCGAGUGUGAAAGCCCCGGGCUCAACCUGGGAAUUGCGCUCGAGACUGGUCUGCUUGAGUUCGGGAGGGGAGAGUGGAAUUCCCGAGUGUAGAGGUGAAAUUCGUAGAUAUUGGGAAGAACACCGGUGGGCGAAGGCGGCUCUCUGGACCGAGACUGACGCUGAGGCGCGAAAGCGUGGGGAGCAAACAGG